ensembl:snRNA U1 U1 spliceosomal RNA
UUACUUACCUGGCAGGGGAGAUACCGCGAUCAAGAAGGCGGUUCACCCAGGGCCGAGGCCAUUGCACUUCGGCUGUGCUGACCCCUGCAAAUUCCCCAAAUGUGGGAAUCUCGACUGCAUAAUUUCUGGGGUGGUAGUAGCCUAGUGGGUGACACACUC